ACACCGCUUACAGGCAAAUACCCCUCUAGACGGCACAGCCUGAUCUCUCUGUGCUUCUUGUGUUAGUCCGGCAGGACGGCGGCUGGAGCCACUGGUCACCUUGGUCUUCAUGCUCUGUGACCUGUGGAGUUGGCAAUAUCACACGCAUCCGUCUCUGCAACUCCCCAGUGCCCCAGUUGGGGGGCAAGAAUUGCAAAGGGAGUGGCCGGGAGACCAAAGCCUGCCAGGGCGCCCCAUGCCCAAUCGAUGGCCGCUGGAGCCCCUGGUCCCCGUGGUCGGCCUGCACUGUCACCUGUGCCGGCGGGAUCCGGGAGCGCACCCGGGUCUGCAACAGCCCUGAGCCUCAGUACGGAGGGAAGACCUGUGUGGGGGAUGUGCAGGAGCGCCAGAUGUGCAACAAGAGGAGCUGCCCCGUGGGUGAGUGAGGGGUGGAAGCGGGGGCGCUGAAACCUGGGCUUCCAUUCUGAUGAAAAGCACAAAUGCUUUGGGAAAGUAGAUGAAAAACGCAAAAGAAAAAUCAAUUUUAGUUGCACAUGCAAAGAUAACUGCUUUUAACAUCUGUGUUUCAGUCCUUCUGUAUUUCUAAUGUAAAAAUAAAAAAGAUGCCAUGUGGGUAGUUG
rnacentral:sRNA from 1 species